GUAAUCCUCUUAUACAUUUUUAAAAAUUCUUAGUUCAUUAGUUUUUAAUCUUCCUUAUUUUUAAAAUAAAUGUAUUUAUAAUUUUUAUUUUAAAUAUUGCUAUAGCUGUAACUCACAAAUUUUGUCAUUUGGCUUUUUAUUGUCUUUCAGAUCUAAAUUUUACUAAUUUCCUUUCUGACUUAAUUUUUACCUGUGAUUUAGUAGUAUUAUUUUAAUUAUUGGACAUAUGGAAUUUCAAAAUUAUCCUUUUGUAAUUUAUUUAUGAUAUUAUAGUAUAACAAUUAGAUAACAUAGUUUACAUAAUAAACGUUUUUUGCUUUUGCUGAGACUUUAUUAUUUGGCUGAAUUUAUAAACUUUCCAAGCACAUUUAAAAAAAAAUAACCUUUAUUUAAUCAGUGUAAAGCUUUGUUUAUGUUUCAAAUUGUCUAUAAUGUUUACAUUUUUGUCUACUUCAUUUUUUCAGUGUCUGUGAUAAAAACAUUAACAUUUCCAGCUAAAGUUUUAAUUUUAUCUGCUGCAUCAUCAUGUAAAUUGUUGCUUUGUAUAUCCUGAAAAUAUGUUAUUAGGUGCAUAUGUGUUCAUGAUUUAUUACAUAUUCCUACUCUGUGAAUUAUUACUUAUAUCUCAUAGUGUUCUUGUUUGUUUUUAAGUUCUGUUUUGCCUCAUAUGAAAGUUGAAGCUCUAGCAUUCUGUUUUUCAGUAUUUGUUUGGCAUAUCUGUUUAUUUUCAAUCAUUUAGUUUCUUCUCAGUUCAAGUCUCUUAUCUUCGACAUUGCUGAAUUUUUUAUAAAACUAUUAUGGAAAUAUGUAUCCUUGGAGUAAUCUAUUUUAAUUAUAAAUAGCAUCAGUACUUAUUCCUACUAUGUUAUUUUUAUAUAUCAAUUGACGUAUUUUUUCUCUUUCUUUUCUCUUAAUUUUCCUCUCCCUUCUCCUUCUUUAUUUUGAUUCCCUUUAUUAAGAUUUUUUUUUUUUACUAGUUCAAAAGUUGGUCUGAGGUACUUCUUUAUAGCACUGCAAGAAUGGACUAAUACGCUAUGUGAAGACAAAGGGGAUGUCUGCAAGCCAGGACGAGUGCGUCUACCAGAAACUGAGUUCUGCUGGACUUUGAUCUAGGACAUCCAGCCUCCAGAAUGGAAUGUGCCAUAUGUGGAGACCUGCAUGGAAAGGAACUGAGGAUGCUCUCUCACUAAAAGCUAGAAGGAACUGAGGCCCUCAGUCAACAGUCUACAAGACACUGAAUCUUGCCAGCAGCCAAGCAGUGAGCUUGAAAGCAGAUCUAUCAUCAGCUGAACCUUCAGAUGAGACCGCAGCCUAAGCAGAUACCUUGGUUGCAGCCAUGUGAGACAACCUGAAACAGAGGGCACAGCUAAGCCUCAGCCAGGUUCAUGACCCUCUGAGGAAACUGUGAGAAAGCAAAUGUCAUUUUAAGCUAUUUAAUUUUGGAGGUAGUUUAUUACACAACAAUAAAUAACUAUUAUAAUUAUCUUGAGGAUUUAUUUCCUGGGGAGAAUACAUGGAAUUGCAUAUAUAGGUCCUCAUAUGCAGAAUACUGGUACCCUAGAGAUGUUCACCCCAGAGAUGUUUUAGGAACCUGUGAAUAUGUUACAUUAAAUGGCAAAGUUUUCCUGGAUGGUUUAAGUUUAAGAUGGAAAAGUUUUACUGGAUUAUCCAGUGGGUCCAAUCUAGUAACAUGAGUCCUUAAAAAUGGAGAAUAUUUUUUGGCCAUGAUCAGAGAGACAUGUGAUGAUGGAAAAAGUGUCAGAGAUGCAAUGUGAGGGGACUAAAACUGCUGUUGCUGACUUUAAAGAUGGAGAGAGGGGAACCCGAGUCAAGGAAUGCAAAUGGCCUCUGGAAGCUGGAAAAAGCAAGAAAUGGAUUCUCCUUUAGAGCCUGUGGAAUAAAAUGCAGUCAUGCUGACACCUUGAUUUUACCUCAGUGAGACCAAUACUGGAGUAUGACCUUCGGAGCUGAAUAAAAUUAUACGUACACAUCUUAAUUUCUUGGGAUUUGAUUACUUCUUCUGCUUUGAAAUUAGACCAAGUUUAGCCUGCCUUUGCUAUUUUGGCGUAUCUCCAAUUCUUCAUGAUUUUCUCAUGUGUAUAUCUAGAAGUGUAAUUGCUGGAUCAUAUGGUUACUAUAUGUUUAACAUUUUGGGGAACUGCCAAACUAUUUUCCAAAGUGGCACAAAGGAGAAUAUAGGAAAAAAUGUAGUUGAAAGAUGGAGUCUUGCUCUGUCACACAUGCUAGAGUCCAGUGGUAUGACCUCAGCUCACUGCAAUCUCUGCCUCCCGGGUUCAAAUGAUUCUUCUGCCUUGACCUCCCUGGCAGCUGGGACUACAGGCCUGCACCACCACGCCUGGCAAAUUUUUUAAUUUUUUUUAGUAGAGAUGGGGUUUCACCAUGUUGGCCAGGCUAGUCUCGAACUCCUGACCUCAAAUGAUCUGCCCGCUUUGGCCUUCCAAAGUUCUGGGAUUAUAGGAGUGAGCCACCAUGCCCAGCCUGUUCUUAAGUCUCCUAGAACAGGGAUUCUGAAACACAAAACUCAUCUGGUGAGAAGAAUGAGAGCAAGAGAGGUUAAAUGGGUCGUUCAAGUUCAUAAAGUACUGACAGAAGAUGACCCUGAACUGUUCUCACUAUAUUAAAAGUCAGACAAGUAUUAUUAUUAUUAUUACUAAUAUAAGUAGCUCCAAUUUAUGUGAUUCUCAUGAUUUGGAGGACCUUACCUAUAUUAGCUUAUUUAAUCUACACAGCAAACCUAGAUGGUAAAUAUUUUCAUUGCCAUUUUACAGAGGAGGAACUGAGGUUCCUGAGGGUUAGGAAACUUGUAACAUGAACUCCAUACAGAUAUACAGAAUGAUAUAAACAAAUAAACAAAUACAUAAAUGUGGAAGAAGUAAAAGCUCUUCCUUGGAGUAAAAGGCCACCUAAUAAAUGAGGCAGGAAUGAUAAAAUUAGAGAAAUCAUUUGCAAACAUCACAGUAUUAAUUGCUUAAAGGAAGAAUUAUAAAUAGAUAAUAAAGCUAGUGGGUGAAACAUUAAUGGGACUAAGAUAUUUAUCUAGCCCCAAAAGUUUUGCUCCAUAAAAAUACUUACUUAGGCUGGGCAUGGUGGUGCACACCUGUAAUUCUAGCACUUUGGGAGGCCGAGGUGGAAGGAUUACUUGAGCUUAAGAGUUCAAUGGCAGCCUGGACAACAUAGUGAGACCGCAUCUCUAAAAAAAAAAUUAGCCAGGUGUGGUAGUGCGUGUAUGUAUUCUCAGCUACUCAGGAGGCUGAGGUAGAAGGGAUCGCUUGAGCCCCAAGUUGAGGCCACAGUGAGCUGAGAUUGCACCACUGCACUCCAGCCUGGGUUACAGAGAGUGAUCCUGUCUCAACAAUAAAAUAAAAUAAAAUGAAAAAAAUAUUUAUUACAAAUGAAAAAAAUGACAUGUUUACACUGGAGAGGCCUACAGGCAUCAUCUUAACCAAUGAUCAAAGUUAAUAUCUACACGAAUAGGACAAAUAAUAUCAUUUCCCUCCUGACCUCAUGCAUGUUUAAAACACAACAUAACUUCUUGGUUAUUUCUGUCAAGAGUGCAUAACCUGAAACUAAUCAUAAGAAACCACCAGAUGACCCCACGAUGAGAGGUAUACUAAAAAAUAACUAAGCUAUUAUUUUAUUUUAUUUAUUUUUUGAGACAGAGUCUUGCUCUGUUGCCCAGGCUGGAGUGCAGUGGCGCAAUCUCAGCUCACUGCAACCUCAGCCUCCUGGGUUCAAGAGAUUCUCCUGCCUCAGCCUCCCAAGUAGCUGGGAUUACAGGCUUCUUUUUGUAUUUUUAGUAGAGAGGGGGUUUCACCAUGUUGGCCAGGCUGGUCUCAAACUCCUGACCUCAGGUGGUCCACCCACCUCGGCCUCCCAGUUUUGGGAUUAUAUGCGUGAGCCACUGCACUCAGCCACCAGACUUUUUUUUUUUUCUUUUUACUUUUUUUGAGACAGCAUCUCCCUCUGUCGCCCAGGCUGGAGUGCAAUGGCACAAUCUUGGCUCACUGCGACCUCCGCCUCCCAGGUUCAAGUGAUUCUCCUGUCUCAGCCUCCUGAGUAGCUGGAACUACAGGCGCCCGCCACCACGCCCGGCCAGUUUUUGUGUUUUUAGUGGAUAUGGGGGUUUCACCAUGUCGGUCAGGCUGGUCUCGAACUCCUCACCUCAGGUGAUCUGCCCGACUCAGCCUCCCAAAGUGCUGGGAUUAUAGAUGUGAGCCAUCGUGCCUGGCCUAUUUUGAAAGCAACAUAUAAUCCAACUUUUUCUUUUGUUAUAAAGAGCAAUAUAGGAACAAGGAGUGAAACACCAAGGCAAUUUGACAGUUAAAUGGUAGAAGUAGAUCAGUGUUAAUUUCCUGAUUUUGUAAUUAUACUGUGGUUAUGUAACAGAAUGUUCUUGUUUUAGAAAGUACACAUUGAAUAAUCAAUGGUCAUCUUGUCUGUAACUUAAUUUCAAAUGUUUCAAUAAAAAUAUGUGUAUGUUUGUGAGUGAUAAAACAAAU
rnacentral:lncRNA from 1 species